AUGGUUAAGUGGGAAACGAUGUGGGAAGGCCCAGACAGCCAGGAUGUUGGCUUAGAAGCAGCCAUCAUUUAAAGAAAGCGUAAUAGCUCACUGGUCGAGUCGGCCUGCGCGGAAGAUGUAACGGGGCUAAACCAUGCACCGAAGCUGCGGCAGCGACACUGUGUGUUGUUGGGUAGGGGAGCGUUCUGUAAGCCUGCGAAGGUGUGCUGUGAGGCAUGCUGGAGGUAUCAGAAGUGCGAAUGCUGACAUAAGUAACGAUAAAGCGGGUGAAAAGCCCGCUCGCCGGAAGACCAAGGGUUCCUGUCCAACGUUAAUCGGGGCAGGGUGAGUCGACCCCUAAGGCGAGGCCGAAAGGCGUAGUCGAUGGGAAACAGGUUAAUAUUCCUGUACUUGGUGUUACUGCGAAGGGGGGACGGAGAAGGCUAUGUUGGCCGGGCGACGGUUGUCCCGGUUUAAGCGUGUAGGCUGGUUUUCCAGGCAAAUCCGGAAAAUCAAGGCUGAGGCGUGAUGACGAGGCACUACGGUGCUGAAGCAACAAAUGCCCUGCUUCCAGGAAAAGCCUCUAAGCAUCAGGUAACAUCAAAUCGUACCCCAAACCGACACAGGUGGUCAGGUAGAGAAUACCAAGGCGCUUGAGAGAACUCGGGUGAAGGAACUAGGCAAAAUGGUGCCGUAACUUCGGGAGAAGGCACGCUGAUACGUAGGUGAAGUCCCUCGCGGAUGGAGCUGAAAUCAGUCGAAGAUACCAGCUGGCUGCAACUGUUUAUUAAAAACACAGCACUGUGCAAACACGAAAGUGGACGUAUACGGUGUGACGCCUGCCCGGUGCCGGAAGGUUAAUUGAUGGGGUCAGCGCAAGCGAAGCUCUUGAUCGAAGCCCCGGUAAACGGCGGCCGUAACUAUAACGGUCCUAAGGUAGCGAAAUUCCUUGUCGGGUAAGUUCCGACCUGCACGAAUGGCGUAAUGAUGGCCAGGCUGUCUCCACCCGAGACUCAGUGAAAUUGAACUCGCUGUGAAGAUGCAGUGUACCCGCGGCAAGACGGAAAGACCCCGUGAACCUUUACUAUAGCUUGACACUGAACAUUGAGCCUUGAUGUGUAGGAUAGGUGGGAGGCUUUGAAGUGUGGACGCCAGUCUGCAUGGAGCCGACCUUGAAAUACCACCCUUUAAUGUUUGAUGUUCUAACGUUGACCCGUAAUCCGGGUUGCGGACAGUGUCUGGUGGGUAGUUUGACUGGGGCGGUCUCCUCCUAAAGAGUAACGGAG
rnacentral:rRNA from 1 species